UGCCGCAACAAAGAGAAGAAGGAGGACCUUUGGACAUGCUUGCCAUUCAAGUUGGAUUGUUGGAGCGUUUUUAGGUGUUUUCAUUCUUUUGUUUUCAAUGUCUAAAUUUGUUUAUCUUUGCUUUGUGAGUAUGAGAAACUAAACCCCCCUUAGCUAGGGGGGAAUUCGAAACCAUGUUCAUGCUUGCAAUAUGAUUUGAUUACUUUUAGUUGUGAUUCAUAAGUUGUGAAUUCAAUUUACUUAUCCAUUUGAAUUAAAACUGAUUUGUGUAUGUUGGUUGAGAGUGCACGCUUAAUUUUCAUGCAUAAAUCUGAUGUGAGGAUAUAAGGGAGUUUCACCUAAUCGUUAUGAACUUAUAUUAACAAGUAGUAAAGGUUGCUCGUCACAACCGUGUUAAGUAAAUUCUUGGCAUAAGUUUCAUGCAAUUCAUAGUUACAAUUGUUUCGUCAAUGCUUAUGAUUUUCAUAAAACUUAAUGAUUCUUGCUUGUAUCUCUAUUAUGCAAUUCAUGUAGGGAACUUGUGGGGAAUGUGUUGGGUUGUUGUAUGCAAUCAUCCAAUUUAAUGAAAUUAGGAAAAUCUGAGGGUUAAUUAGUGCAAUUCACAGUUAAUCUGGGGCAUUGAGAAUUCGUAGUUUAUUGAAAAGCAACUGGAAAUCGUUUUGUUUACAAGUGUGUCAUGUGUGGAGAAGAACCUCUUAGCUAGCCUUCCAUCCAUUCAAUCUACUCAAAUUCGUGCAGAUUUCAUUAGUUCUUUAAUUUACUUGUUUUGUUUUCAAUUUCGUCAAAACCAAAACCCCCUUUACCUUGUUGCGUCAUAUUAGUUAGAAACUUAUUUAGUUUGUGUUUUUAAGUGUUUCGAACCAAGUUAAAACCAAAAUUCGUCCAAAAGUGUGUUUAGAGUCUAAAUCUGCCCAGUUUGUGUUUUUAGGCAGAUUUGAGCGUUUUUAGCUUGUUUUGAGUCUUUUGAGUUUGUCUUGAGU
rnacentral:lncRNA from 1 species